CACCACCACCAUCCUCCUCCUUAGCCCUCACUGCUGCUCUCUGCUCCGUUUCAGGGAGGAAAUGGCUUCUCCUGCCCCAGAGGACCUCUAGACCUCCUGGGCCGGACCUCCAAGCCUGUCGGACUUGCAACAUCCGGACCUGUGCCUCCAACGCACUGUGCUUGCACAGCGGAGGACCCAAUCCGAUUUGGUUGCAGUAUGUUGCUGUGUUCCCAGAACUCAGCAAUGACUUUGAUGAGCACAAAAGACUUCCGAGGGGGACCUUCACAGCAACCUGAUGUCUUGAGGAUGAGGCUGGGGCUUUAGGCUGCAGCGCCAGAGGCACUGGGGCUGAUGAAGCUUGGCCCGGGGCCCAUGUUUGCAUUCCCUCUCACUGAGGAAGCCCAGGAUGAAAGAGCACCACUGCACACACAGACACAUGCCAUCUACGCACACAUACACACUCACAGACAAGUACUUUGGAUGCACCAGAGGGCAAAUGGUUGUUGUAAUUGAGUCAAUAAGAGCAGGAUUCGAAGUUAUAACUUUCAGCAAUUACUAACUAAAGUGGAAUAAACGUGGGGUGCAGUUAA